ACUCCUACGGGAGGCAGCAGUCGGGAAUUUUGGGCAAUGGGCGAAAGCCUGACCCAGCAACGCCGCGUGAAGGAUGAAGUCUUUCGGGAUGUAAACUUCGGAAAUAUGGGAAGAAUUUUGACGGUACCAUAUCUAAGGUCCGGCUAACUACGUGCCAGCAGCCGCGGUAAUACGUAGGGACCAAGCGUUGUUCGGAUUUACUGGGCGUAAAGGGUGCGUAGGCGGCGCCGCAAGUCACUUGUGAAAUCUCCGGGCUUAACUCGGAACGGCCAAGUGAUACUGCAGUGCUAGAGUGCAGAAUGGGCAAGUGGAAUUCUUGGUGUAGCGGUGAAAUGCGUAGAUAUCAAGAGGAACACCUGAGGCGAAGGCGACUUGCUGGGCUGACACUGACGCUGAGGCACGAAAGCCAGGGGAGCGAACGGGAUUAGAUACCCUGGUAGGCUCUGC
rnacentral:rRNA from 1 species